rnacentral:rRNA from 1 species
CCUACGGGAGGCAGCAGUGAGGAAUAUUGGUCAAUGGGCGCGAGCCUGAACCAGCCAAGUCGCGUGAAGGAUGACUGCCCUACGGGUUGUAAACUUCUUUUAUAAAGGAAUAAAGUGAGGCACGUGUGCCUUUUUGUAUGUACUUUAUGAAUAAGGAUCGGCGAACUCCGUGCCAGCAGCCGCGGUAAUACGGAGGAUCCGGGCGUUGUCCGGAUUUAUUGGGGUUAAAGGGAGCGGAGAUGGGUUGUUAAGUCAGUUGUGAAAGUUUGCGGCUCAACCGUAAAAUUGCAAUUGAUACUGGCAGCCUUGAGUACAGUUGAGGUAGGCGGAAUUCGUGGUGUAGCGGUGAAAUGCUUAGAUAUCACGCAGAACUCCGAUUGCGAAGGCAGCGUACCGGCGCCCAACUGACGCUCAUGCACGAAAGCGUGGGUAUCGAACAGGAUUAGAUACCCGUGUAGUC